rnacentral:lncRNA from 1 species
CCGAUAUAAAAACGGUUUCUCCUUUCUUAGGAGAGCAUAACUCAAUAAACCCGCCAUAAGCAGUCAGGCCUGGCAUGCCUGCAGAGUCCAGGUUUGUAGAAACUAGACUGAGUGCCAAAAUUUUGCCAAUGCUAAAAAGCAGGAGCGCUACGGCUACGGCUAACUAUCACGAGACAAUGUUACUUAUCUAGAAGAGAAGCUAUCAGGAAGUUCCUGAAUUACACACUCGUUGCAUAAUUCCAUCAACUAACUGUGCUGCAGAACUUGCGAUAGAACUGUCGAAAGUGUGCAUUAACAGGAAGACUUAGAGCGAAAAAUAUAGUUCAAUAACAUUGAAAGAGCAGAUACUUUAGACGAUGGAAGAGUGUACCCAAAAGACCGGUGUAGUAAGAGAGAGGAACAUCGGUGUGUUCGAUCUUAAAGCAAGUCUCUGGCGCGGGAAGUAGACUUUACUCCUCCCAUCCGGUGAGGCCCCAAACCAAAUCGCCUUUCUCGAAAUUCGGAUGCCCAGAUUCCUAGCAUUGCUCUAUGAAACCAUCCAAGGUCAUAACUUUGUCGGCAAAAUCAGUCGAAACAUCUAACUGCAUUCCGGACGCUAAAAUGGCCAAGGGCUGGCACGCCGCUACACAUUCUGCGCUAAUGAACACCGACUAGGAACGGCCGCAGCACAGGGCCAAUUCAUCCCAAAAGGUUCAUAGUCGCAGUUCAAUUACUUGGAUAAACAAAGCUUGAAAAAGGUGACAAAUUCAGUUCGAUAGGAGUUGAACGCGAAGUCGCUGUAGAGAGAGAGAGAGAGAGAGAGAGAGAGAGAGAGAGAGAGAGAGAGAGGACGACGGACUCGGGGGCUGUGGCGGCGGCUGUGAGCGCUCAGCCGAAGCUGCAGUGGCUGGGAACGGUGGAGUGCGGCCACGGCGACUGCGGCAGUCGCUGCUACGCGGCGCGAAGUGCGGCUGCGGUUGCCACGGAGCCGCCGGUCUAUGGUGGCGCCAAUGGGGCUUCCGAGGCGGCGGUCGAUGAUCGGUGGAGGAGGAACGAAGGGCUUUGGCAGGAGCGUUUGGCGAUUGCAAUUUCACUCUAUGCUUUCUGGGGGGAAAUGUGGAUAUUCAGAAAAUGGAGGGGUGGAAAAUCGGAAAUAUAAACGGCGGUUAAAUAAAAUGCAUGAAAAUCUGAGGAAUUCUAAAUUUUUCAGUAGAGAAAUUAAAAGAUGCAUUAUCUGUGCAAAAAAUAAAUACUAGUUAAUUUUAUCAUGAAAAAUUGACGAAUGACGUACACAAAAAUAAUAAUUACGAAUAAGUAGUCAUCCCUUUUUAUAAGAAUGGCAACUUUUAAGAGAAAUUAACACGUUUUAACACAAUUAUGUAGCAAAAUUGAAAACGACACUUGUUAGACGUACAUAUAUUUCAUUAUUUAAUUUAACCAACAUGUGAUGUUUUUCAAUGACACGACUUGAUAGAGAUACUAAAACCAAACUAUGAUAUGUAAAUAUGAAUUCUCAAUCCUGUUUGUUUAAUAUGGAGAUUUGUAUACAUUAUUUGGACCUUUUUAACAUAUGAUAAACCUGAUAUCAUAAUAUAUUUUUAUAGAUGGAGUAAUUUGUAUGAAAUAAAUAAAUAUAUAUAAUGUAAUGUUUGUAGUAUAACGUAAUGUUUCCAGUAAUCUUCUUCAUCUUAACAGGGAUUAGUUGAUGCAAUAAAACCAUAGGCGACUUUAGUCUAUCGAUUAGAAUCCUCAAAGUUAGGGGGCUGGAAAUGAAUAUACUCUAAAGAUAAUGAAUAGACAAUAAUUGAAUUUUGCGUGUAUUUAAAAGCUCCAAAUCGUGGAUCCAAUGAUAUAAAUCAAAAUGAUGAAUUGUAUUUCUUAUUUUUUCAUGAAAUUUUUAACUAAUAGUUGAAAUUAUCCUUAAAAAAUAUAAUAGUUGAGCUUAAAGAAAUUAUUGUGGGAUAGUUUUUACUAUAUUGUAAGAAUAACAAAAAAUCAAAUAACAAGUAAUUAUAAAUUAUUAUAAGGGCCCCAUUCCUUUGAGAAUUUGUAUCUCACAAUAUGUUGUUAUUCUCACAGUAGUCCAAAGACAAUUAUGCUGGUAAAAACCUUCAACUCCAGAGUUCUAUCAUAAGAGACUAUGCUGGUGGAAAAGGUACAAGUGACUCAUUCAUGAGCAACCAGGACCACCUGUUUCCCGACAUUGCGGCCGGAAAACAGCCCGACCAGGGCCGUCGGACCACUCUCGAGCCCUUCGACAGUGUCUUCAAUAUAUACAAUCCUUCCCUCUUUAGUGGGAGGCAAAACCAUCUCCAGGAACUUCGGGUAGAGAUGAUAAUAAUCAAGCACAUUGAAACCUUCCAUUCGAACUCGCUUCGCGAUAAGUUGCAUCAGGUUGUGCACGCCUUCAGGCUGCUCAAGGUUGUACUGCGAGAUCAUUCCACAUACCGCAAUUCGACCAUGAAGCUUCAUGUUGAGUAGCACCACAUCCAGCGUCUUUCCCCCGACAUUUUCAAAGUAGAUGUCGAUCCCCUCAGGGAAGUACCUGAAAGAUUUCGAGAUGGAAAACGGUCAGCUCGAGCCGGCUUUGCGCUCGUGCGCAUACAUGUAAGGUGCUUGAUUCGCUCAAUCGUCAUUAGUGUGUUCCGAACUAACCUUUUCAGUGCUGCAUCCAGAUUUGAUUCUUCCUUGUAGUUGAAAGCUUCAUCGAAUCCGAGCUUGUUCUUCAGCAAGUCGACCUAUUUUGCGGAAAUGGAUGAGGAAAUGAAGAGAUUAGUUAACAAAGGGAGUACUUCUGCAUUUAUUUUAGCGGAUUGAUGAGGAUAUACAUCCGACACGGCGAUCCUUGCAGAUGCUAAAUGUGAUCGGAAAACCAAAUUAGCGCCAUGUCGGAGGGGAGAUGUUCCCUAAGCAACUGUCAUUCGAGGAAAUUCAAUGUCGGACAAAUGUGAGAAGAUUACCUUUUCUUUGCUGCCGGCACUGCCAACAACAUAGCAACCGAACAACUUCGCAAGCUGGCCAACAAGCUGACCAACCGCCCCUGAUGCGGCCGAUAUAAAAACAGUUUCUCCUUUCUUAGGAGAGCAUAACUCAAUAAACCCGCCAUAAGCAGUAAGGCCUGGCAUGCCUGCAGAGUUCAGGUUUGUAGAAACUAGACUGAGUGCCAAAAUUUUGCCAAAGCUAAAAAGCAGGAGCGCUACGGCUAUGGCUAACUAUCACGAGACAACGUUACUUAUCCAGAAGAGAAGCUAUCAAGAAGUUCCUAAAUUACACACUCGUUGCAUAAUUCAAUCAACUAACAGUGC